rnacentral:rRNA from 1 species
CAAUAGCGUAUAUUAAAGUUGUUGCAGUUAAAAAGCUCGUAGUUGGAUUUCUGGUUGAAGCGACCGGUCGGGCGUUGAUUCGUCUGCACUGGAGUCGGUUUUGGCCAUCCUCUAGGAAAGUGCGUCUGGUAUUAAGUUAUCGGGCGUAUGAUCCUGGUCUUUUACUGUGAAAAAAUUAGAGUGUUUAAAGCAGGCCUUCGCCUUGAAUACAUUAGCAUGGAAUAAUAAGAUAGGACUUUGGUCUAUUUUGUUGGUUUGCAGACCGAAGUAAUGAUUAAUAGGGAUAGUUGGGGGUAUUUAUAUUCUGAUGUCAGAGGUGAAAUUCUUAGAUUUUCGGAAGAUAAACUUAUGCGAAAGCAUUUACCAAGGAUGUUUUCAUUAA